rnacentral:lncRNA from 1 species
CGGUACUGGUAAAGUACCCUAAACUUAAAAACAUUACCAAAAACCCUUUAAAAUAAACUUACCAUUAAGACAGGCUGUUCUUUCAUUCAAGCGUUGUCUCUUUAUCCAUGGUCGAAUUACCAGUACAAUUUUUUAUAAACCAGUACAGCGAUGUAGUGAAAUUUCGGGCCGUCGUUCACAACAAAUAUAAACAUCACAAUUAUAUAAGUCAAUGUAUGUAUUUUUCUCUUUUAUUAAAUACUACAGAAUCGUUUUCCCUGUCCACUAUCCCUGUGAGUUAUAAUUUCCAAAACAAACCAGUCGUUAUAACGUAAAGUAAGCGGUUAUUUGUGACCAAAAGUGCCGUUUCAUAACACGAAGUAACCGGCGCCAUCAUUAAAUUUUCGCGCCAAAAACUCUGUAGUGGAGGAGAAGUCCCGUAUGAACGACGUCACAGGUGUCAUUACGCAUGCGCACUGAGCUAUAAGUAAAAUAUUUCAAAAAUACCAGAAAAAUAUACGCACUAAAUCCAAUUUUAAUCUCUUUAUCUUCGCUAUUUUCGCUUUCCAUAUAUUGUUCGACCCAACCACGGUUGCAACACAACAAUUUUUGCCGCUAAACAUUUUAAAAUCAACGAAAAUAGUAAAUAUGAAGGCAUGAAGCAUUAUUUCAUAAUUUAUAUAGAAAAUACUGCUCGGGCAAACAUCGGGAAAAUCCGAAGUUAUCCGAAUCCCCUGAGCUGAAUUACUUCACUGGAUGUCUGUCUAAAAAUAGCAACACUACAGUGUUUUAUAUAGACCAGUGGCUCACACUGAUCUAUAUAAAAACACUGUAGUGUUGCUAUUUUUAGUACGUUAUUUGCGCCUGGGUACGAGGCUGAUCCACUGAACUAUAUAACAUAUAAAUAUAUAACUUCUUUUUGCCAUUCUUCCCUUUUUUUCAAUCUCGUUCCCCGAGCAUGGGCAUGCUCGGGGAACGAGAUCGCCUUUUUUUAAAAAAUGCAAAAAGGGGCGGCCUAAAAAUGGCCUAAUAAGGUGGGUUUGGAUAAAAUAUCAUAGUUGUUGUAUUUAUAAAUUAUAAUUUAUAGGUAUCGUAUAAUACUCGAUGUAAAGCGCAUUUUAUUAUAUUGACGUGUGAAUUCGCGCUAUAGAAAUGUUAAAAUCGCAAUAAAUGCAAGGGACUAACCAUACCAUUAGAACACUUGUAGUCGUGUUUUAUCAUAUCUAUGCUUGUGCUGCCCAUUUUAAAUAUGAUAUUAACACUCCUACAUAUGUUGAUAUGGCAGUUUUAAAUAUUACUUAAUAUGAGCACAAAGUUCGGCUGAGUGACUGCUAUCUAUAUGAUAUUGUGUAGUUAUUAUGUAUGCAGACUCGCAUGGUUACGUCAUUGUAUAAUUUGUAUUGUUACACAUCGCACCCAAUGAGGCAAACUUUAUGCAUAUUUUUUACUUGAGUUACUUGGUUACGUGAGUGUGGGGCAGUUAAACAACGGGAAAUGACCAGCCUGCUUUGCACACACUGUUUGCCUGCGUAUUGGGCCUUUCAGAACAGGAAAUCAGGUUCAAAUAAUGAAGUGCUAAUAAACUUCAGUACUUAAAACCAAUUACUCAACAAAACCAAGUGUUUUCUUUGUCGAGCACAACAACCUUUUCCCCUCAAGACACCACCUCCACGACAAGAAACAUUUAAACCAGUCUGGAGUUAAGAUUUUUGCAAGAAAUCUUAAAUCUGCCUUCUUUUACCUCACAAAGAAUCCCACAAUCUUUAAUAAAUCCAAACUCCCUAUCAAGUACAAUCUCCCCUUUGGCUACCAUAAUUCAACAUUCCCUCCUCCAAAUUUUCCAUCUCCAUCAGACUUAUCCUCACAACAGUUAGUUCUCAACAUAUUUACCUCCAACCAAUUUACCGCCACCUCACCCCAGCCAUUCAACUUUCCACAACCUACGAAUAGAAAUGCCCUGAAAGAUCUAGUAACAGGAAUAAUGUACCUA